AACGUAAGCUUAAAUUUGUGAAGCAAUAAUUAUUUGAGGGCCACAGAAACAACAAUGGCGGAUCUAAAGGGGGGAGUGCAAACUUAGGUCACGUCCCUUUAUUUUUUUUCUCUCCACCCCUGAACAGUUUGAGUAGCAAUGGAAAUGAAUAAUAUAGUUGAAUUUGGUAUAUGGGUAAAUCAUCACAUUUCCCGUCAUCACGUGACAGGACGGAAGGUCUAUAUAUAUAGUGUAGCCGGGCCCAAACAUUAACUUCACUCAUCAUCAUCAGGUCGAUAUACCAGGAAGAGGCGGCUGUGCAGAGGCCAUUUUGAAUAUUUGCAGUAAACUACUCAUGUGACCUCUGACCCCAGAGAUGGAUCCGCGUGCUCAGGACGUCCUACUUUGUGACUUCUGUGAGACUGAACCUCUAAAGAGUCACUGUAAACUUUGUGAUAUGAAUCUUUGUACUGACUGUGUCAGUAAACAUGCAAGGUGAAGAUAACGAACAGUGAUCAAUCUCACAACUCCUACAAGCAAUACAAAAUAGAUAGUUGGGCAAACACGGACCCCUGGACACGCCAGAGGUGGGAUCAGGUGCCUAGGAGGAGUAAGCAUCCCCUGUUGACCGGUCACACCCGCCGUGAGCCCCAUAUCCUGAUCAGGUAAACGGAGUUAUCCGCAGUCAAAAUCCGUGUGCCAAGAACGGCUUAACAAUCGGUAUGAAACACGUCAGACAGCAUUUGACCCAAUGCGAGGUUGUAUUGACGAACUAGAUCGUUAUAACGACCAUAGAAUUUGCGAAAUGCUGACUUCAAUCGAGACUGUUGAAAUCCCUGUACCAUCAACUUGUUUGUCAGUAGCUUACCUCGAUUUAAAAACUGAAUAUACCCAGAACAAGCUCUUGCAUAUCGAAUCAGUUGAGAUAUAUAAACACCAUAUGCAGGUGAUAAUGGAAUAUUGCUACAUAAAUGUGGGAAGUUGACGAUGGAGAAACAUCUCUCAGAUUCCUCUGAAAAACACGAUAUCGUACCGUAUCAUUUACACAGAAAGUUUACACCUAAAUAUUCGGAAUGUGUGAAACACGCCCACAAAAAUUGUGAAUGUUUUUGCGAAAAAUACGACAUUCCUGUCUGCUCUUUUUGCGUCAUUUCUGGUGAACAUGAAGAUCACAAGUUAUUUGAUGUUCUGGAAAAACUCAGCUCUAAAACACAAAGUUUACAAAGGGAUUUAGAGGAACUCAAGACCAGAAUUUAUCCCCGAUAUGAAGAAAUGGCGUACGGUGGCCAAACUGAAAAAAGCCGAGUUAGAAGCGAAUUACGGGAAAUUGACCAAAGCUGCCGAACAAGGAGAAGUUUGGCACCGCGAGGUCAACCCCCUUGUCAACCGACGGAAAGCAGGCAUUGAGGAAACGAAAACUAAACAUUUGGCUGUAUUAGAGAAACAUGAAGACGAAAUAACACACAGAAUGACUGAAAUCAAACAGAUCAUUCUAGAAAUUAAAAACAUUCUGGACACCAAUGAUAUCUCCUUAAUUAAAGCUGACAUGAAUUAAUAAAUACGUACACCU